rnacentral:rRNA from 1 species
UACGUAGGUGACCAGCGUUGUCCGGAUUUACUGGGCGUAAAGAGCGCGCAGGCGGUCGUUCAAGUCGAGUGUGAAAGCCCCCGGCUCAACUGGGGAGGGUCACUCGAUACUGAUCGACUUGAAGGCAGGAGAGGGAAGCGGAAUUCCCGGUGUAGUGGUGAAAUGCGUAGAUAUUGGGAGGAACACCAGUGGCGAAGGCGGCUCACUGGACCGGUACUGACGCUGAUGCGCGAAAGCGUGGGGAGCAAACGGG